rnacentral:rRNA from 1 species
GCAGUCAAUUGUCCUUUAAUUGGGGAAAGGAAUGAAAGGGUUGACGAGGGGUGAGCUGUCUUUAUAGUAUAGUUUGAAGUUUUCUUUUACGUGAAAAGACUUAAAUUUAAAAAUAAGAAGAGAAGACCCCGGCGAGCUUGGUAAGGGUUAUUAAACUAAAAUAAUUAUUGAGGUUUGUUGGGGCAACGCAAAGGGAAAAUAACUCCUUUGAACGUAAUAAAGAUCCACUUAGAGUGAAUAAAGCAAAAGCUACCGCGGGGAUAACAGCGCAAUUUUUUCAGAGAGUUCAUAUCGAAGAGAAUGUUU